UACGUAGGUGGCAAGCGUUGUCCGGAAUUAUUGGGCGUAAAGCGCGCGCAGGCGGUGAUUUAAGUCUGAUGUGAAAGCCCACGGCUCAACCGUGGAGGGUCAUUGGAAACUGGGUCACUUGAGUGCAGGAGAGGGGAGUGGAAUUCCACGUGUAGCGGUGAAAUGCGUAGAUAUGUGGAGGAACACCAGUGGCGAAGGCGACUCUCUGGCCUGUAACUGACGCUGAGGCGCGAAAGCGUGGGGAGCAAACAGG
rnacentral:rRNA from 1 species